rnacentral:lncRNA from 1 species
AAGUCUUCAAGAAAUGGAGUUGCGGCUUCGUGGGCGAAAGAUGUAUCUCCGUUGAGGAAGAAACCAAGGCUUUCUUCUGCUGAGAAGACAUAAGUAGGAGCUACUCCCCCUUCAUCUGCUAGGGUUAAGCACAUCUGUCUGUGCAAUCAGCAAGAAGGUUGGCAGUAUGCGAAACACUCAGAACGUCCCACUCAAGCCUCCUGCAAAC